rnacentral:lncRNA from 1 species
AUUUACUUUGUGACAAAAUAACACUACAAAAUGUAUUACAUACCAAUAUCUUUCAAUUAAAGUUGGGCAUUUCUGCGUUGAUUAUUUCUGGUCAUAACGACAUCAAUUGUCUUUUUUUAAAAUGAAACAAAUUAAAAAAAAAAUGGAAACUAACUGAGAGAAUCCUUUGUUUUAUGUCACUCGCGUAAAAAUCAGUUCUUUAUUUUCACAGUACGAAUGUUGUGGUGUUAGAAACUAUAGCGAUUGGUCAGGAACUUCCUACAAUAAAAGAGCCCGUAGUCUGCUCACUAAAGGAAUCCACCCGUACCCUGAAUCCUGCUGUAGGGACAAUAACAACUGCAGUCUGUUGCUGUCAAGUAAUCCUGAUAUAUUCAUCCAGGGAUGUUUAUAUCCAGUAGUUAAUCAAAUGAGGCUGAUAUUAUCUUUGGUUGGCUGGUCCACCCUUGCAAUAUCUGCGUAUCUGGUAAUAGAGAGUUUCAUGGUGUGCUGUUUCCGCGUUGCCGUCUCACGGUAGAUUGCAGACGGGCCAAUUUCCUGUCAAACUGUUUAUGAAGCAAUUCCCAAACCGUUUUAUACUCUUCAAAAAGUCAGAGAGGAACAGAAACAGCUGGCUAUGGAAAAAUUUAAAUAAUUCUGAGUUUAUGCUUCACAGACAUUAAUUGAAACCUGUUAUACUAGUAAAAUGCAAUCAAUUAUGAUAAUUUAACAUCUUCAAAGAACCUUGAGAAAACGAUGUGAUUAUUUCAUCGAGUAUGAAGGGAAAAGCCGAGGCGCUCACCUGUCACUGUUUCCUGACCAGUACAUUUUGUAAAACUAAUUGACAUACAUUUUGUCAACAAAAGACAUCUGAAUACUUCAGUUUUUAUAAAGCACAUCGUCUCUUAGAAAAGGACAUAAAGGUAACAUGGUGUCACAAAUGUAACAGUUCUGGGUCAUAUAGGUAACAGGACAACACUAAUGGCGAUUAUGUUACAAUGUGUUCAGGGACAAUGCACCAGUAACUUCCAAAGUCUAUAAUAAUAUUAUGAUGCCCUAGUACUCAAUAUCGCUUCUAUCAUCAUGUCCGUAAAUUAUGUAUCCUGACUGUACCUAAGUACUAUAAUGCAUGUGCAGUGGUAUCCACCCUUUUACAAGUGUUAAUUUUAUCA